rnacentral:rRNA from 1 species
UUUUGUUCGGUGUAAGGAGCCGAAAGAAUAAGGGGAGGGCAAGUCUGGUGUCAGCCGCCGCGGUAAUACCAGCUCCCCGAGUGGUUGGGACGGUUAUUGGGUUUAAAGCGUCCGUAGCCUGUUGGAGAAGUUCUCCGUUAAAUCCAACGAUUCAAUCGUUGGGCCGCGGAGAUUACUCUUCAGCUUGGGGGCGGAGGAUGUCGACGGUAGUCCCGGGGUAGGGGCGAAAUCCUAUAAUCCCGGGAGGACCACCAGUGGCGAAGGCGGUCGACAAAUACGCGCCCGACGGUGAGGGACGAAAGCUGGGGGAGCGAACGGGAUUAGAUACCCCGGUAGUCCCAGCUGUAAACAAUGCAGGCUAGGUGUUAGAACGGCUACGGGCCGUUCUAGUGCCGCAGGGAAGCCGUUAAGUCUGCCACCUGGGGAGUACGGUCGCAAGGCUGAAAUCACCAAAGGUAAAGUAUGGGAAAAUUCUAUAUUUCAUGCAGAUGUAACUAUGCUGCAUGUGAUAAAGAUC